GGCCUAACACAUGCAAGUCGAGCGGUAGCACAAGAGAGCUUGCUCUCUGGGUGACGAGCGGCGGACGGGUGAGUAAUGUCUGGGAAACUGCCUGAUGGAGGGGGAUAACUACUGGAAACGGUAGCUAAUACCGCAUAAUGUCUUCGGACCAAAGAGGGGGACCUUCGGGCCUCUUGCCAUCAGAUGUGCCCAGAUGGGAUUAGCUAGUAGGUGAGGUAAUGGCUCACCUAGGCGACGAUCCCUAGCUGGUCUGAGAGGAUGACCAGCCACACUGGAACUGAGACACGGUCCAGACUCCUACGGGAGGCAGCAGUGGGGAAUAUUGCACAAUGGGCGCAAGCCUGAUGCAGCCAUGCCGCGUGUAUGAAGAAGGCCUUCGGGUUGUAAAGUACUUUCAGCGAGGAGGAAGGCAUUGUGGUUAAUAACCGCAGUGAUUGACGUUACUCGCAG
rnacentral:rRNA from 1 species